rnacentral:precursor_RNA from 1 species
GACCUCCGUGGAUGGCGUAUGAGGAGCCAUGCAUAUCCUCAUACAUAUAUAAUUAUGUUUUGGUACCAAUUGAAUUGUGUUGAUGAGCUUGUUUUGUAGAAGUCUCUGUUCAUUGCCUCAUCAUGUGUAGAAGAGAUUAGAGGUACCUCACGAAUCCAUCAUAUGCUUUUUUCUUGUGACUUCCCAUAUAUUCCUUUGUUAGAUAUUUUGGUGACGUUCUCUCUCUGAUUCCGUUCUUUCAAUUCGUAUUUUUCCAGUACACAUGUUUGUCAUAUCAUAGCACUUUUUACGAGGAUUUCUUCUGUGUUCACAUCAGUUUGGCAUUUUGUUUUAUUUUUUAAAAGGAAAUGGUUAAUUAUAACAUAGCUAA